CUCCGCCCCUCAGCCGGCUCCCUGGGUUUACAGCGCUGCCCCAGAAGCCCUCCUCACCAACGCCAGUGUGUCACACCCAGGCGUGCGUGCCAGUCACACCAUUAGUGCCCGAGCAGAUAUCAGUGGUCACUUUCCUGCACCCGCAGUCACUGGGCGGCAGGAGUGGAAUGAACCCAGCCUCCUGGGCACAGCCUCAGCUGCCUCCCACUCACCACCGGCUACUGAGGGCACAUUGAUGACUUGCUCCAGGGCCCUUCACCCCGCAGAGGAAGAAUCUCUGUGUCCAACAUUUUAUCAUCGGGAAAAGAGUGACCUCCCAUAGGAAGAGCCGACAAGGUCCCUUCAGCCGAUCAUCGACGUCAGUGUCAUAGGGAUGCCCUGCUGAUGGCGUGAACUUUUCAUGUACUGCAGUGCCAAAGGGCUCUUUCUUCCCCAAACCCACAACCCCAUUUAUCAGGAGAGGAACGGCAGUCAAAUCCAAAUUAGGGGCGUGUUACAAAACACCAGACUGGUACUCCUCAAAACCGUGGUGAAGAAAGGAGGGUCGGAGGGACUGUCACCACCCAGAGGAGCCAAAGGAGACAUGAUGGCUAAGAUAAGGUGGUGUCCUGUCCGAGAUCCUGGAAAAGAAAAGGCCACUAGGUAAAAACAAAGCACACCAGAACACAGCAUGCUUCCCGCAAGCUUGAGAAGGCGUCUGUCACUCAGCGCACAGUGCCGGGGUUGUCGGGUGCUCAGGGGUGACCUACGGUGUAAAAUGCACCCCCUUACCUGCACACACGCGCCCUUACCUGAGUGCAAACGAGAUGCUCUGCUCACGUUCUACAACUUCGGCUCAGUGGUCAUUCCUUCAAAUGCUGGACAUGUUAAAGAAGUCUAUAAAGUCUAGGGCGCUUGGCAACAGCAGCCAGAGAAAAACAAGACCUUUGGCCUGGAAGAGGAAGGGAGUCCAAUACCCAGCGGCACCACCCUCCGCCCAUGCACAUCCUCAGAGGCACCGCCCACCCCGCGCUGGCAGGGCCUGGGCACUAGUGCCACCUGGCGGCUGAAGACCGACCUGCCGCUAGUGAUUCCUGAAAAGAGGCCUUCCAACAUCAGGCAUGUAAGGAGCACCUACUAUGUGCAGCACAACGGGAGCAAAGACAGGGACCAAGUCACUGUCUGAGAGGAGCCCACAGUCCAGCGGGAGGCAGAAGCAGAAAUCAUUUCAGUGCCGUUUGUAAGUGCCCCGGUACAGAGGCUCUUAAGCAGCAUCUUCUUUCAUCAGGGAGACAAGAGCAGCACCUGUGGAAACUGAAAUGAAGCAGGAAGGCUUCCUGGGGGAGGUGAGUUUUGGCUGGUCCAAGAGGAACUUCAGUUGCUGAAAACAUUUGUAGAAGUGCUAAGCAGUAAAACCAGGAAAUUCUGAAAAAUGUCAUAGACAACAAUAGUGGUACCCAUGCCAAUUCCUACUGAGUCAGCUGAGAAGAGAGAUGAUUUUAUACUCUGUUACCAACAGACUAAAGGCUUAGACACAAUAACAAAAUUAAAAUAUUUUUAAAA